GUAACAGUUAGUGCUUCAUAUUGUACCUCACGUUAUAUCUUUCAGAUUUUGUGCUUGCAGUGGAGCAGCUCAACACUGUCUCUGAAGAAGCAGAUCUCCUUAAAUGCUAUUGGUGCUUACUACCUCUUCCUCCUUCUAGGUCUCCUGCAAUGGCUGAUGGCUACAGGGGUCUUCCAGUUCUUGAGUCUUCUCUACCAUCUAUAAAGGCAUCUAAGCUGAGCCUGAUUGCAUCCUGUAUUUUAUUUUUCAGAUUUUGCUUCACCUAUGCUUAGUCUCACCACCACCACUACUGACUGUCUGUGAAGAAGCGGACCUCCUGCUGUUGGCUUCCUCUGAACUCUAGUGCUGCUCACCAUCUCUCCCUCCAUGGUCUCCUGCAGUAACAGAUGGUUACAGAUUUCGUUCCACGCAUGUUCAGUCUCACCACCUCCACUACUGCCUGUCUGAGAAGAAGCGGACCUCCUGCUGUAUGCUUCUUCCGAACUCUAGUGCUGCUCACAACCUCUCCCUCCAUGGUCUCCUGCAGUAACUGAUGGCUUCAGAUUUUGUUCCACGCAUACUUAGUCUCACCAUCAACAAUACUGCAUGUCUGUGAAGAAGCGGACCUCCUGUUUGCUUCCUCCGAACUACAGUGCUGCUCACUACCUCUCCCUCCUUCUUGAUCUACUGCUCUGGCUACAGGGAUCUUAUCUUAGUUCUUUAGUAUGUCUGUACCAUCUAUAAACACACCCAAGCCCAGCCUAAAUGCUUGCUCUAAGGCCAUAGCAGUGAUCUGCAACUUGUGGCUUUGUAGCUGGGCAAGAACUAAAACUCCCUGCAUGCCCUGACAGCCGAAGGCUUUCGGGGUAUGCUGGGAUUUGUAGAUCUGCAUCAACUGCAGAGCCACAGGUUGCAGAUCACUGUUCUAUCUCUGCUCCUUUCUUUUUUUAGGUUUACUAUGGCAUUUACAGUUGAUGAUUGUCAUUUUUUUUGGGAUAUUUAUAUUUUUCAGAUUUCACAUUAGCUUUUGAUCACUUGCCAUCCAGUAACUUCACUACCCAGCGAAAUGAGUACAUGAAGUUUAAAAGUAUGGCCCUCACCUAGCACAUCACCACCACCACCUGUUGCCACAGUCUUUGAACACCUUUAAAAUUUAAUAGUGAUAGUUCCAAAGCACAUGGCAUUACCAAAAAAAUUAUGGAAUUUAUUGCUCUAGAUGGCCAGCCAGCCAUUUUUGGUUGUGGAGGAUAUUGGCUUUGGAAGGCUCAUAGAACAUAUUGAGCCAUGGUACAACCUGCCAAGCAGGCGUUACUUUGCUGAAACCUGUCUACCAGAAAUGUUUGAUCAUGUAGCAAAACCCAGUCAUCAGCUAAUAACAAGUGAUAUCCUAGUUUUAAAGGGGUUAUCCAUCAUAAGGUGAUUUUAGCACCUACCUGCCAGACAGUAAUGGGCAUACUUAGGAAGGAUCUGCGCUUGUCUUUGGGUUAAAUGGCUAUGUUGUGAGAUUAUCAUAAAGCUGUGGCUUCCUUUUUUUGAACCUCAGUAUGUCCUGUUGAAGAUUUCUUUUUUACUACAAAUCCCAGAAUUCCACUUUCCUAUCUCCCACGCAUCAGUCACCCCACCCAUUGAAAAGCAAACAAGCUAAAUUCAAUAAAAAAAGGUCAGUGCUUUCUAAUCAAGGUGCCUCCAGCUGUUCCACCCAUUGAAGCAGUCAGGCUCCCUGUCAUCACCUGACUAGUGAUGUCAGGUCUCGGCCACACUGCAUCUUGGGAAAUACCCGAGACAGGAGUAAUUUUGUA